AUUGAACGCUGGCGGCAUGCUUUACACAUGCAAGUCGAACGGCAGCACGGGAGCUUGCUCCUGGUGGCGAGUGGCGAACGGGUGAGUAAUGCAUCGGAACGUACCCAGUAGUGGGGGAGUAGCCCGGCGAAAGCCGGAUUAAUACCGCAUAUUUCCUGAGGGAGAAAGCGGGGGACCGUUCGGGCCGUCGCGCUACUGGAGCGGCUGAUGUCGGAUUAGCUAGUUGGUGAGGUAAAGGACUCACCAAGGCGACGAUCCGUAGCUGGUCUGAGAGGAUGAUCAGCCACACUGGGACUGAGACACGGCCCAGACUCCUACGGGAGGCAGCAGUGGGGAAUUUUGGUACAAUGGGGGCGAACCCUGAUCCAGCCAUGCCGCGUGAGUGAAGAAGGCCUCGG
rnacentral:rRNA from 1 species